ACAACAUACUUGCAUAGUAUUGUUAUGAAUUCCAACUAGAACAAUGUUGUGGUUUAAAAGCUCAAGAAAUAAACAUAUUCAAAAAUUAUUGUGCAACUUUCUGGGUAUGCCAUUGCACUUAGAAAUUCAACCUUAUUUAGUCUAAACUAGCUUAAAGUUCUAUAUUGUCAUAAAUUACUGUGCUGAUCAGUAAAUGUUAUUUUUGUGUCAAUUUUUUGUAGGUGACAAAGCUUUCUACUGUAGUGUUUGGGAUGAAAGAAGGCAGUGACCAGUGCUCAGUUCCUGUAAGAAUAUACACAAUGUGGAUGGUACUUGAAAAGUUACAAUGCUGGAGUUGGUUGGUUGAAAGUUCUACAAGAACAGGAUCCCUACCCUCAAUGGUUUCCUUCGGAUUGAGCUGAUGCAAGUGUUUGUAAAUCCUACAUCUGAGUCAUGGCUUCAAAGAUAAGGUUCCUGAAAAGACGAUAUAUGUACCAAAUUGAUGCAUCAACUCUUGCAAGGAAAUUUGUCGGGUUUUGUGAAAUAAAAGCGUAAUAUUUUCUCAAGAUUAAUGGAUGUUUUGAAAUAUCAUAUAAAACAUUCAGAACAACUGGAUCCUGCAUGUACAUGUGUAUUACACUUGUAAGCUGUCUUGGUUACUGGGAGUACAAGACCAAUAGUUUGGUACAAUGAUUUAUAACCAGACUGUUAACAGGCACUGUCCCUUGGUAC